AUUGAACGCUGGCGGCAUGCCUUACACAUGCAAGUCGAACGGUAACAGGUCUUCGGAUGCUGACGAGUGGCGAACGGGUGAGUAAUGCAUCGGAACGUGCCCAGUAGUGGGGGAUAGCCCGGCGAAAGCCGGAAUAAUACCGCAUACGACCGGAGGGUGCACGGGGGGGAUCGCAAGACCUCUCGCCAUUGGAGCGGCCGAGGUGAGAUUAGCAAGUUGGUGGGGUAAAGGGCUACCAAGGCAACGAUCUGUAGUUGGUCUGAGAGGACGACCGGCCACACUGGGACUGGAACACGGCCCAGACUCCUACGGGAGGCAGCAGUGGGGAAUUUUGGACAAUGGGCGCAAGCCUGAUCCAGCAAUGCCGCGUGCAGGAAGAAGGCCUUCGGGUUGUAAACUGCUUUUGUCAGGGAAGAAAUCUUCUGGGUUAAUACCUCGGGAGGAUGACGGUACCUGAAGAAUAAGCACCGGCUAACUACGUGCCAGCCGCCGCAGUAAAAC
rnacentral:rRNA from 1 species